UGCCAGCAGCCGCGGUAAUACGGAGGGUGCAAGCGUUGUUCGGAAUUACUGGGCGUAAAGCGCGCGUAGGCGGUCUGUUAUGUCAGGUGUGAAAGUCCAUGGCUCAACCAUGGAAGUGCAUUUGAAACUGACAGACUUGAGUACUGGAGGGGGUGGUGGAAUUCCCGGUGUAGAGGUGAAAUUCGUAGAUAUCGGGAGGAAUACCGGUGGCGAAGGCGACCACCUGGCCAGGUACUGACGCUGAGGUGCGAAAGCGUGGGGAGCAAACAGGAUUAGAUA
rnacentral:rRNA from 1 species